CAAGUACUCCCUCCAUCCGGAAUUACUUGUCAUCAAAAUGGAUGUGUCUAGAACUCAAAUGCAUCUAGAUACAUCCAUUUCAAUGACAAGUAUUUUCGGACGGAUGGAGUACAAG
rfam:Triticum aestivum genome assembly, contig: Triticum_aestivum_CS42_TGACv1_scaffold_308017_4AS